GUCCACGCCGUAAACGGUGGGUACUAGGUGUGGGUCCCUUUUCACGGGAUCCGUGCCGUAGCUAACGCAUUAAGUACCCCGCCUGGGGAGUACGGCCGCAAGGCUAAAACUCAAAGGAAUUGACGGGGGCCCGCACAAGCGGCGGAGCAUGUGGAUUAAUUCGAUGCAACGCGAAGAACCUUACCUGGGUUUGACAUACACCAGAAAGCUGUAGAGAUACAGCCCCCCCUUGUGGUUGGUGUACAGGUGGUGCAUGGCUGUCGU
rnacentral:rRNA from 1 species